rnacentral:rRNA from 1 species
UACGGGGGGGGCAAGCGUUGUUCGGAAUUACUGGGCGUAAAGGGCUCGUAGGUGGCCAAUUAAGUCAGACGUGAAAUCCCCAAGCUUAACUUGGGAACUGCGUCUGAUACUGAGUGGCUUGAAUUGGGGAGAGGGAUGCAGAAUUCCAGGUGUAGCGGUGAAAUGCGUAGAUAUCUGGAGGAACACCGGUGGCGAAGGCGGCAUCCUGGACCGGCAUUGACGCUGAGGCGCGAAAGCCAGGGGAGCAAACGGG